GAAAGUAAUGAAGGGCGUACGGUGGAUGCCUAGGCUCUUACAGGCGAUGAAGGACGUGAUAAGCUGCGAAAAGCCGCGGUGAGGCGCAAAUGGCCCUUGACCCGCGGAUCUCCGAAUGGGACAACCCAAUAUCUUGAAGAGAUAUUAUCCCGCCGAUGCGGGAGGCGAACGCGGGGAACUGAAACAUCUUAGUACCCGCAGGAAAAGAAAAUAAAGAAUGAUUCCCCCAGUAGUGGCGAGCGACCGGGGAAGAGCCCAAACCGACGUUGUCUCGGCAUCGUCGGGGUUGUAGGACCGCGCCAUCGCAAGAAAGGCCGUGAGUGGAAGCGACUGGAAAGCCGCGCCAUAGAGGGUGACAGCCCCUUACACGAAGCAGCCCGAAGCGUAGCGGACUCCUGAGUAGCGCGGGACACGAGUAAUCCUGUGUGAAUCCGCCGGGCCCAUCCGGCAAGGCUAAAUACUCGUAAGAGACCGAUAGUGAACCAGUACCGUGAGGGAAAGGUGAAAAGUACCCCUUGCAGGGGAGUGAAAGAGUUCCUGAAACCGUACGCCUACAAGCGGUCGGAGCAUCUUGAAUGAUGUGACGGCGUGCCUUUUGCAUAAUGAACCUACGAGUUGCCGUCACCAGCGAGGUUAAGUGCGAUGACGCACCGAGCCGCAGCGGAAGCGAGUCUUAAAAGGGCGCAAUAGUUGGUGGAGGCAGACGCGAAACCGAGUGAUCUACACUUGUCCAGGAUGAAGUCCCGGUAACACGGGAUGGAGGUCCGCACCAAUAAGCGUUGAAAAGCUUCUGGAUGAGGUGAGUGUAGGAGUGAAAGGCCAAUCAAACUCGGAGAUAGCUCGUACUCCCCGAAAGGCAUUUAGGUGCCGCCUGUGGCGUUCCCGACGUGAGGUAGAGCGACUGAUAGGAUGCGAGGGCUUCACCGCCUAUCAAGUCCUGACAAACUCCGAAUGCACGUCGGCCAAGCCAUGGAGUAAGGGCAUGGGUGCUAAGGUCCGUGCCCGAGAGGAGAAGAAUCCAGACCACCGGCUAAGGUCCCGAAAUACUGGUUAAGUUAGACUAACGCAGUCCGGCCCCCAAGACAGCUAGGAUGUUGGCUUGGAAGCAGCCAUUCAUUCAAAGAGUGCGUAACAGCUCACUAGUCGAGGAGCUGGGCGUGGAUAAUAAUCGGGUAUGAAACCAGUUACCGAAGCCGUGGGAUGCUUAAGCAUCGGUAGGGGAGCAUUGCAUGCGGCUUAGAAGGCGGGGCGCGAGCCCCUCUGGAGCGCAUGGAAACGCAAAUGUAGGUAUAAGUAACGACAAGGGGGGUGGGAUGCCCCCCCGCCGAAAGACCAAGGUUUCCUGAACAACGCUAAUCGGUUCAGGGUCAGUCGGGUCCUAAGCAUAAGCCGUAUGGCGAGGGCGAUGGACGAAACGGUUAAUAUUCCGUUACUGUCUUGGUGUGUGACGCGGCGACGGAGUAGUGACACGGCCGCCUCCUGACGGAAAAGGGGGUUGAAGCGCAAAGGUGUCGAGGAAGGCAGGCAAAUCCACCUUCCGAGCCGAAGCGCGAAAGUACGCCGGGCCCUUUGGGGCAAGGCGAUAGUGCCGGUAAUCAGACUUCCAAGAAAACCCGCUAAACUUCAGCACCAAGUCACCCGUACUCCAAACGGACACACGUGGUCGGGUAGAAUAUACUAAGGCGCUUGGGAGAUUCACGGUUAAGGAACUAGGCAAAUUGACCCCGUACCUUCGGAAUAAGGGGUCCUCGCUUUUGCGAGGCGCAGAGAAUAGGUCCAGGCAACUGUUUAACAAAAACACAGGGCUGUGCAAAUUUGAAAGAAGAAGUAUACAGCCUGACACCUGCCCGGUGCCGGAAGGUUAAGAGGAGAGCUCAUCAGCGAUGAGAAGGCUUGAAUUGAAGCCCCGGUAAACGGCGGCCGUAACUAUAACGGUCCUAAGGUAGCGAAAUUCCUUGUCGGGUAAGUUC
rnacentral:rRNA from 1 species